rnacentral:misc_RNA from 1 species
GUGUCAAGGAUCCUAGCCUAGCCUUUUCUUUCAAAGCGAUCGAGAAGAAUUGGGAAGGACAUGCAACAGGAAAAUGAAACAUCGUAAUUGUUAAAGUUAAAGCAACGUUACACGCUGUUCCUUACGAUCGGUCAAUGUUCGAGCCCACUCGCGCGACCUACUUGAUCCCAUCGCUGGGUUGCGGGGUUAAACGGUGGACGCGCGUUCUUCUCUUCUCGAGCACUUAUCGAGUACAACGCCUUCGUUGGCGGAAAUUCCUUGGCUCGUUAAAAGCCACGACGCAACAGAAUUGCGGCUAAUCCGCGAGAUCGGCCAAAGAGUACCGCGUUGGUUGGCGCGAGCACGAUCGUAUCGUCGUCUCUGCUGGAACUGCGGGUGCAUGCGACUGCGUCACGACACCAGCUCACGCUGGAAAAAACUUCGGCGUGGCCGCGCAACGACAGCUUAAUCCUUGUCACGACGAGAAAAGAAAAGCGCUGGCCAAGCUAGAUCAAGCCACGUUGCAAGUAACAUUUUCAUCAAGCUUUUACAGUCGGUCGUUGCAUAUUGUAUUACUUUUCCCAUUCUCGUUUGAAAACCGGCCAGACAACAGGGACACGCUAUUCCGCGGCAAAAAACACGGCAGCGGCCAAUGAGAGACGCUACGUACGGGUUUAGAGACAACAGAGAAGCUAUUUCCGCGUGAAAAAAGAAGACAUCAUUGACGAGAUUAAAAAGUAUAAAUGUCGAGUAUCGAACAAGCGUAUUCUUUUUUUACGCUCGUCCACCGGCCUGGUCAAGAAUUUUAAUCUUCCUUGUUCGAUAACCAAAGAUAUAUAUAUAUACGGAGGAAAAUGAGUUAGUCGAAACGAGGAUGAAACAAUCAUCGUACGUGUUUAAUCGAGUUAAGAAGCGGGCAGAGGAGGACGUGUCUUCUCUGCGAGUUUCUAAAGAUAGAUUCCUUUCAUUGACUUAGCUUUCGGUACGUGGGUAUACAAGCGCGAGGCACGUUCUGCGAAAAUUUGAUUAGGAAAUAACGAAAGUUAAACGAAGAAUUCGGGAUGAACGAUUUAUAUUCGAUUUCUCACGUUGCUGGUAUCGAUCGAUGAAGAUAUUAGCUUGUCCGAGAAGUUUCUUUCGUUUCGUUAGUGAAAUAAUAGAUGCACAACAUUUUUUCUUUUAUAUCAUUUUAUGGAUUUAUGUACGAUCCGUUUCGUGAUCCACAUCUACCUCUUCCUUAUCGAACGAAAGGAACUUUCGGGACAACCUAAUGCUUGCAACUUUUUAUCGAUAAUACACACAUAUUGCUAAUCAAAUCGUAGUUGCGUGUAUGCGCAGCUAGAAUUAAAUUUUGAUAAAUUUGAAACGCGAAGUUUAUGCUCGAUGGCUUGAAAAUUGAUCAAUUUUAAACGCAAAACUUGAAACGCAAUUCUCUCGAAACGUGACUUUUCGCAACUAUCGGCACAAUAAUUUCCUCACAGCUUUCGGUAAUUCUUUACGAGAUAUUUUUUCCACGUUUUUUCAAUUUUUCAGGCUCAAUUUCGUCGUGAUUACGUACGAAUACCGUCGUAACGAUAUAGGUGGAUAUUUCCGGGUAAAAGUCCUGUCGUGGAAAAAUAGGAGAACCCGACGUCGCGGCUUUUUCGUUUCUCUUC